rnacentral:misc_RNA from 1 species
GAUGAAGAACGCAGCGAAAUGCGAUAAGUAAUGUGAAUUGCAGAAUUCAGUGAAUCAUCGAAUCUUUGAACGCACAUUGCGCCCGCCAGUAUUCUGGCGGGCAUGCCUGUUCGAGCGUCAUUACAACCCUCAGGCCCCCGGGCCUGGCGUUGGGGAUCGGCGGAAGCCCCCUGCGGGCACAACGCCGUCCCCCGAAAUACAUUGGCGGUCUCGCUGCAGCCUCCAUUGCGUAGUAGCUAACACCUCGCAACUGGAACGCGGCGCGGCCAUGCCGUAAAACCCCAACUUCUGAAUGUUGACCUCGGAUCAGGUAGGAAUACCCGCUGAACUUAAGCAUAUCAAUAAGCGGAGGA